rnacentral:lncRNA from 1 species
UGAUUGACCAAUGAUGUAGUAUUUAUACAGUGAGUUCUUGGUUGGUUAGUAACGAGGAAACAAUAACAUUUGUCCGAAUAUAGGGAUUGAGCAAAGAUGGUUGGUUGAGUUAUUCUCUGAAUGACUUUAUACACAAAUUAGACAUAUAACAUAGGUAUACGUUAAUAUCGAUAAAUAUUAUGAUUAGUUGACUUUUAGCCAAUUAUGUCAUAUUUUUUAGGUACCAAUGAUGGCGGAG